rnacentral:rRNA from 1 species
UGAGUCCUACGGGGGGCAGCAGUGGGGUAUAUUGCACAAUGGGGGGAACCCUGAUGCAGCGACGCCGCGUGGGUGAAGAAGCGCCUCGGCGCGUAAAGCCCUGUCAGCAGGGAAGAAAAUGACGGUACCUUAAGAAGAAGCCCCGGCUAACUACGUGCCAGCAGCCGCGGUAAUACGUAGGGGGCAAGCGUUAUCCGGAUUUACUGGGUGUAAAGGGGGCGCAGACGGCGAUGCAAGCCAGUAGUGAAAGCCCGGGGCCCAACGCCGUGACUGCUCUUGUACCGGCGUGGCUGGAUUGCAGGGGG